rnacentral:rRNA from 1 species
GCUACUGCCAUCAGAGUUCGAUUAAGCCAUGUUAGUCGAGGGUGCUUCUUCUUCGGAAGAUGUAACCCGGCGGACGGCUCAGUAACACGUGGAUAACUUGCCCUUGGGUCCGGGAUAACCCCUGAGAAAUUGGGGACAAUACCGGAUAGGGCAUCGAUAGCUGGAAUGCGCGAUGUCCAAAAGCUGAGGCGCCCAAGGAUAGGUCUGCGGCCGAUUAGGUUGUUGUUGAUGUAAUGGAUCAACAAGCCUGCAAUCGGUACGGGUUGUGAGAGCAAGAGCCCGGAGAUGGGUUCUGAGAAAAGAACCCAGGUCCUACGGGACGCAUCAGGCGCGAAAACUUUACAAUGUGCGAAAGCACGACAAGGGAACUCUGAGUGCCUCCUAUGGAGGCUGUUCAGGUGUCUAAAAAGCACUUGAAGUAAGGGCUGGGUAAGACCGGUGCCAGCCGCCGCGGUAACACCGGCAGCCCAAGUGGUAGCCACGAUUAUUGGGUCUAAAGCGUCCGUAGCCGGCCAGGUAAGUUCUUUGGGAAAUUUAACCGCUCAACGGUUAAGCUUUCAGGGAAUACUGCUUGGCUUGGGACCGGGAGAGGUCAGAGGUACUUCAAGGGUAGGGGUGAAAUCCGUUAAUCCUUGAGGGACCACCAGUAGCGAAGGCGUCUGACCAGACCGGGUCCGACGGUGAGGGACGAAGGCUAGGGUCGCGAACCGGAUUAGAUACCCGGGUAGUCCUAGCUGUAAACGAUGCGGGCCAGGUGUUGGCAUUACUGCGAGUGAUGUCA